rnacentral:rRNA from 1 species
CGUAUCGGGGGGGGGCACCGUGGUGAACGGAUGAGUAACACGUGAGCAAUCUGCCCCUGACUCUGGGAUAAGCGCUGGAAACGGCGUCUAAUACCGGAUACGAGCUGCGAAGGCAUCUUCAGCAGCUGGAAAGAAUUUCGGUCAGGGAUGAGCUCGCGGCCUAUCAGCUUGUUGGUGAGGUAACGGCUCACCAAGGCGUCGACGGGUAGCCGGCCUGAGAGGGUGACCGGCCACACUGGGACUGAGACACGGCCCAGACUCCUACGGGAGGCAGCAGUGGGGAAUAUUGCACAAUGGGCGAAAGCCUGAUGCAGCAACGCCGCGUGAGGGACGACGGCCUUCGGGUUGUAAACCUCUUUUAGCAGGAAAGAAGCGAAAGUGACCGGUACCUGCAGAAAAAAGCAGACCGGCUAAACUACGUGCCAGCAGCCGCGGUAAAUACGUAGGGCGCAAGCGUUAUCCGGAAAUUAUUGGGCGUAAAGAGCUCGUAGGCGGUCUGUCGCGUCUGCUGUGAAAACCCGAGGCUCAACCUCGGGCCUGCAGUGGGUACGGGCAGACUAGAGUGCGGUAGGGGAGAUUGGAAUUCCUGGUGUAGCGGUGGAAUGCGCAGAUAUCAGGAGGAACACCGAUGGCGAAGGCAGAUCUCUGGGCCGUAACUGACGCUGAGGAGCGAAAGGGUGGGGGAGCAAACAGGCUUAGAUACCCUGGUAGUCCACCCCCGUAAACGUUGGGAACUAGUUGUGGGGUCCAUUCCACGGAUUCCGUGACGCAGCUAACGCAUUAAGUUCCCCGCCUGGGGAGUACGGCCGCAAGGCUAAAACUCAAAGGAAUUGACGGGGACCCGCACAAGCGGCGGGAGCAUGCGGAUUAAUUCGAUGCAACGCGAAGAACCUUACCAAGGGCUUUGACAUAUACGAGAACGGGCCCAGAAAUGGUCAACUCUUUGGACACUCGUAAACAGGUGGUGCAUGCUUGUCGUCAGCUCGUGUCGUGAGAUGUUGGGUUAAGUCCCGCAACGAGCGCAACCCUCGUUCUAUGUUGCCAGCACGUAAUGGUGGGAACUCAUGGGAUACUGCCGGGGUCAACUCGGAGGAAGGUGGGGAUGACGUCAAAUCAUCAUGCCCCUUAUGUCUUGGGCUUCACGCAUGCUACAAUGGCCGGUACAAAGGGCUGCAAUACCGCGAGGUGGAGCGAAUCCCAAAAAGCCGGUCCCAGUUCGGAUUGAGGUCUGCAACUCGACCUCAUGAAGUCGGAGUCGCUAGUAAUCGCAGAUCAGCAACGCUGCGGUGAAUACGUACCCGGGUCUUGUACCCCCCGCCCGUCAAGUAUAAAAAGACUAUUGUAUAGAAGAACGCUGCAC